rnacentral:rRNA from 1 species
AACAGGAUUAGAUACCCUGGUAGUCCACGCCGUAAACGAUGUCGACUUGGAGGUUGUUCCCUUGAGGAGUGGCUUCCGGAGCUAACGCGUUAAGUCGACCGCCUGGGGAGUACGGCCGCAAGGUUAAAACUCAAAUGAAUUGACGGGGGCCCGCACAAGCGGUGGAGCAUGUGGUUUAAUUCGAUGCAACGCGAAGAACCUUACCUACUCUUGACAUCCACGGAAUUCGGCAGAGAUGCCUUAGUGCCUUCGGGAACCGUGAGACAGGUGCUGCAUGGCUGUCGUCAGCUCGUGUUGUGAAAUGUUGGGUUAAGUCCCGCAACGAGCGCAACCCUUAUCCUUUGUUGCCAGCGAUUCGGUCGGGAACUCAAAGGAGACUGCCGGUGAUAAACCGGAGGAAGGUGGGGAUGACGUCAAGUCAUCAUGGCCCUUACGAGUAGGGCUACACACGUGCUACAAUGGCGCAUACAAAGAGAAGCGACCUCGCGAGAGCAAGCGGACCUCAUAAAGUGCGUCGUAGUCCGGAUCGGAGUCUGCAACUCGACUCCGUGAAGUCGGAAUCGCUAGUAAUCGUGGAUCAGAAUGCCACGGUGAAUACGUUCCCGGGCCUUGUACACACCGCCCGUCACACCAUGGGAGUGGGUUGCAAAAGAAGUAGGUAGCUUAACCUCCGGGAGGGCGCUUACCACUUUGUGAUUCAUGACUGGGGUGAAGUCGUAACAAGGUA